rnacentral:rRNA from 1 species
UACGGAGGGUGCGAGCGUUACUCGGAAUCACUGGGCGUAAAGGGCGCGUAGGCGGCCGGGCAAGUCUGGUGUGAAAGCCCAGGGCUCAACCCUGGAAGGGCACUGGAAACUGUCUGGCUUGAGUUCCGGAGAGGAGGGGGGAAUUCCCGGUGUAGCGGUGAAAUGCGUAGAUAUCGGGAGGAAUACCGGUGGCGAAGGCGCCCCUCUGGACGGGUACUGACGCUCAUGCACGAAAGCGUGGGGAGCAAACAGG